rfam:Oryza glaberrima chromosome 7 Oglab07_unplaced150_15, whole genome shotgun sequence.
AAAAAGUCAAAACCUAGGUUUCCGUGUCCAACUUUAUCUGUCCGUUUUAUAUGAAAUUUUUUUAUAAUUCGUAUUUUUAUUAUUGUUAGAUGAUAAAACAUAAUUAAUAUUUUAUACGUGACUUGUCUUUUUAAUUUUUUUCAUAAUUUUUUUAAUAAGACGGACGGUCAAACGUUGGACAUAGAAACCAGGCUUGUCUUUUU